CCUACGGGAGGCAGCAGUAGGGAAUAUUGCUCAAUGGGGGAAACCCUGAAGCAGCAACGCCGCGUGGAGGAUGAAGGUUUUCGGAUUGUAAACUCCUUUUGUUAGAGAAGAUAAUGACGGUAUCUAACGAAUAAGCACCGGCUAACUCCGUGCCAGCAGCCGCGGUAAUACGGAGGGUGCAAGCGUUACUCGGAAUCACUGGGCGUAAAGGGCGCGUAGGCGGGAUAGCAAGUCAGAUGUGAAAUCCUAUGGCUUAACCAUAGAACUGCAUUUGAAACUGUUAGUCUAGAGUAUGGGAGAGGUAGGUGGAAUUCUUGGUGUAGGGGUAAAAUCCGUAGAGAUCAAGAGGAAUACUCAUUGCGAAGGCGACCUGCUAGAACAUAACUGACGCUGAUGCGCGAAAGCGUGGGGAGCAAACAGGAUUAGAUACCCGGGUAGUC
rnacentral:rRNA from 1 species